UUGAAUAUGUUGUUUGCUUCAUUCAAUAUGUGUGAGUAGUUUGCUUGUUAGGAAUAGGGUUUCUCAUUAGGGAUUCAUAUGGUUUAGUAGAUUGCCCUCUUUGCUAGGUUAUCUGUAGAAUUCUUCAUCUUAAAUUAUGCUUAAUGCUAGAUCUAGAGUAAUUAACUAGAUCUUGAAUCCAGACAAUAGAUAUGCCCACCAUAGGUAUCUGUAGUUGGAUAUAUUAUUUGAUGAGUCUGGUUUAUAGGUGUGUAAUAGAAAUCGGCCUAUCUACUAAGAUGAACAAUUGAACUCGUUAAGAAUGCAUAUUUAGGUUGAUAGUUUCUCGGCUUCUCCGGUUAUUAUUAGCUAUAGAUAUAGGGAGUUUCGCGGCACGCCCACUUGUUAUUCCAUAAUUCGAGUUUGAGUUUAAGAAUGGUUCGAUAACAACCUAGCUUUCAUUAGAUCUACUAACCAAUAGUUUCCUGAGAAUAACCUGUUCCUAGCUCUUUAUUAAAUCGUUCACAACACAAUCAAUCUGCUGUCUUUUUACUUUGUUCUCUUUUAUUUUUAAUAUUACCCUGCUAGCUUAAUCUCGAUAUUUAACUCAUUGUUUGAACAAAAGAACUCCGUGAAUUUGAUCCUAAAAUACUGCAUUUGAUCUCUUAUUUGAGAGAGUAGUUCUAGGUAAUUUGAACCAUAUCAAUGUACUCUCUAG
rnacentral:sRNA from 1 species